ensembl:lncRNA
GCUGAAGAGAUGCAGCAACAACUAGUUGGUGCCAUUGGUGGUCAACACACAUCUUCUCCUGCUGCAGUAUGGUUGUCAUAUGCUUAUUGAGCACGCUGAUAUGAUGGACAAUCGAGAGCAUCCUGUUGGGCUGUAUCACUUCCUGGUACGGCAACUGCUCCGCCCACAACCAUAAGGCUCUCCAGAGAGUAGUGAGGACUGCACAACGCAUCACUACCUGCCCUCCAGGACACCUACACCACCGAUGUCACAGGAAGGCC